AACGCCCCUUCGGGGGAGUGGAGCGGGUGAGUAACGCGUGGGAACCUACCUUGGGGUACGGAAUAACUCGGGGAAACUCGUGCUAAUACCGUAUACGUCCGUGAGGAGAAAGAUUUAUCGCCCCUAGAGGGGCCCGCGUUGGAUUAGCUAGUUGGUGGGGUAAAAGCCUACCAAGGCAUCGAUCCAUAGCUGGUCUGAGAGGAUGAUCAGCCACACUGGGACUGAGACACGGCCCAGACUCCUACGGGAGGCAGCAGUGGGGAAUCUUGGACAAUGGGCGCAAGCCUGAUCCAGCCAUGCCGCGUGAGUGAAGAAGGCCCUAGGGUUGUAAAACUCUUUCAGCAGGGAAGAUAAUGACUGUACCUGCAGAAGAAGCCCCGGCUAACUCCGUGCCAGCAGCCGCGGUAAUACGGAGGGGGCUAGCGUUGUUCGAAAUUACUGGGCGUAAAGCGCGCGUAGGCGGCUUGACAAGUUGGGGGUGAAAUCCCGGGGCUCAACUCCGGAACUGCCUUCAAAACUGCCAAGCUAGAGUCCGUGAGAGGUGAGUGAAAUUCCCAGUGUAGAGGUGAAAUUCGUAGAUUUUGGGAAGAACACCAGUGGCGAAGGCGGCUCACUGGCACGGUACUGACGCUGAGGUGCGAAAAGCGUGGGGAGCAAACAGGAUUAGAUACCCUGGUAGUCCACGCAGUAAACGAUGAGUGCUAGUUGUCGAGCAGCAUGCUGUUCAGGUGACGCAGCUAACGCAUUAAGCACUCCGCCUGAGGGAGUACGGCCGCAGGUUAAAACUCAAUGUUUA
rnacentral:rRNA from 1 species